AGCGAACGCUGGCGGUAGGCCUAACACAUGCAAGUCGAACGGCAGCACAGGAGAGCUUGCUCUCUGGGUGGCGAGUGGCGGACGGGUGAGGAAUACAUCGGAAUCUACCUUUUCGUGGGGGAUAACGUAGGGAAACUUACGCUAAUACCGCAUACGACCUACGGGUGAAAGUGGGGGACCGCAAGGCCUCACGCGAUUAGAUGAGCCGAUGUCCGAUUAGCUAGUUGGCGGGGUAAUGGCCCACCAAGGCGACGAUCGGUAGCUGGUCUGAGAGGAUGAUCAGCCACACUGGAACUGAGACACGGUCCAGACUCCUACGGGAGGAAGCAGUGGGGAAUAUUGGACAAUGGGCGCAAGCCUGAUCCAGCCAUACCGCGUGGGUGAAGAAGGCCUUCGGGUUGUAAAGCCCUUUUGUUGGGAAAGAAAUCCUGUCGAUUAAUACUCGGUGGGGAUGACGGUACCCAAAGAAUAAGCACCGGCUAACUUCGUGCCAGCAGCCGCCGUAAGAC
rnacentral:rRNA from 1 species